rnacentral:lncRNA from 1 species
GGUUAAUAAUAGCCGCCGAGUGCCUAACGAACCACCUGUGCAUGGGGCACAGCCAGGCCAUCACCCCGGGGCCACCGUCGCAGGCAGGUGGAGGCUGGCAGCCCAGAGGCAGACAGGGGCUUGGAGGCAGGGUGGGGAGCAAGGCCAAGGCCGCUCUCUGGCCCCCAGUGUCACAGGAUGACCUCAGCCCUGGCCUGGCCCCAGAGCAGGUUGGUUCACUGCUGGGCCCUGUGGACUUGUUCUCAUGCUUUGUCAGUGUCGAUGUCGAAAGCCCAAAGUGUUUCCCAAGUCCUGCUACCUUGGUGGUGACACCAUCUAAGAGGCACUGGCCAGAGAGCUGGGCAGCAGCUGCCACCUGGGAUGAAGAUGGGCAGAGCUGGGCCACCAGGGCCGUGGUGUGAACACACCACUCUCCCUCCAGGGGCCGACCAACGAGCUCCGGGGGUCCAACCCUGGCUCCGGCUUUGGCAGAACUCUCACCUCGCCCCCAGACACCUGUGGGAGGAGCACAGUGCAGGUGGCGACAGCUCCCAGGGGCCGAGCAAGGCUGUGAGCCUCCGCACUAGGGGCCUCUCCCAUCUAGUCCUCCCCACACGCUGGGGUUAACGCAUUCUUAACAUAUGUAUGUUAACCCAACCAUAACAAGGUGCCACCAUCGUCCCGUCCACAAGGGAGGAGACAGUGGCUACAGGGUGGCAGGCAGCCCUUACAAGUGGGACUGGAAGCCUUUCCCUCCCGCCCUGUGGGAAGCCUGUGGCCGUCCCCGCCCUCGUCCAGCUGUGCCCUGUCCUCUCCAGCUGACCGUCCCCGUCAAUCUCAUCCCUG